rnacentral:rRNA from 1 species
UGAGGAAUAUUGGUCAAUGGGCGCUAGCCUGAACCAGCCAAGUAGCGUGAAGGAUGAAGGCUCUAUGGGUCGUAAACUUCUUUUAUAUAAGAAUAAAGUGCAGUAUGUAUACUGUUUUGUAUGUAUUAUAUGAAUAAGGAUCGGCUAACUCCGUGCCAGCAGCCGCGGUAAUACGGAGGAUCCGAGCGUUAUCCGGAUUUAUUGGGUUUAAAGGGAGCGUAGGUGGACUGGUAAGUCAGUUGUGAAAGUUUGCGGCUCAGCCGUAAAAUUGCAGUUGAUACUGUCAGUCUUGAGUACAGUAGAGGUGGGCGGAAUUCGUGGUGUAGCGGUGAAAUGCUUAGAUAUCACGAAGAACUCCGAUUGCGAAGGCAGCUCACUGGACUGCAACUGACACUGAUGCUCGAAAGUGUGGGUAUCAAACAGGAUUAGAUACCCUGGUAGUCCACACAGUAAACGAUGAAUACUCGCUGUUUGCGAUAUACAGUAAGCGGCCAAGCGAAAGCAUUAAGUAUUCCACCUGGGGAGUACGCCGGCAACGGUGAAACUCAAAGGAAUUGACGGGGGCCCGCACAAGCGGAGGAACAUGUGGUUUAAUUCGAUGAUACGCGAGGAACCUUACCCGGGCUUAAAUUGCAGUGGAAUGAUGUGGAAACAUGUCAGUGAGCAAUCACCGCUGUGAAGGUGCUGCAUGGUUGUCGUCAGCUCGUGCCGUGAGGUGUCGGCUUAAGUGCCAUAACGAGCGCAACCCUUAUCUUUAGUUACUAACAGGUUAUGCUGAGGACUCUAGAGAGACUGCCGUCGUAAGAUGUGAGGAAGGUGGGGAUGACGUCAAAUCAGCACGGCCCUUACGUCCGGGGCUACACACGUGUUACAAUGGGGGGUACAGAAGGCAGCUAGCGGGUGACCGUAUGCUAAUCCCAAAAUCCUCUCUCAGUUCGGAUCGAAGUCUGCAACCCGACUUCGUGAAGCUGGAUUCGCUAGUAAUCGCGCAUCAGCCACGGCGCGGUGAAUACGUUCCC